rnacentral:rRNA from 1 species
AUGGGCAAGCUGUACUCGAGCCGGAACUCCUCCAGGUCAACGGGUCUGCGGAGCAUCAGCAAACGGUUCACAAACUUCUUGAACAGCACCACAGGCUCAAAGUCGUCCUCGUCUUCGUCUUCAUCGGCCAUGUCUGCGAAUUCGUUGAAAGACACGUCGAUGCAGGGCACCGACUGCCAGAGGUCUCGCCAGCGCCGUGACAGCACGCAUGUGUGCACAGCUUCGUGUGAGCGCAGGUGGGACAGGACACGGAAGAGGACUUCGUCCGGGAGGGCGCUGAUCCUGCUCCUGUCGCCCGAAGCCUCCGCCGUGGGGUCAGAGCUCAGAGGCGUUUCAUCGAACAGGUUGUGUGCAGGGAGGCUGCAGCGACCAAAGAUGAACAACCACAAGCCGUGA